AUACGGAGGGUGCGAGCGUUGUUCGGAAUUAUUGGGCGUAAAGAGCAUGUAGGCGGUCUGUUAAGUCUGGUGUGAAAGCCCGGGGCCCAACCCCGGAAGUGCAUUGGAUACUGGCAGACUUGAGUAUGGGAGAGGAAAGCGGAAUUCCGAGUGUAGGAGUGAAAUCCGUAGAUAUUCGGAGGAACACCAGUGGCGAAGGCGGCUUUCUGGACCAAUACUGACGCUGAGAUGCGAAAGCGUGGGGAGCGAACAGGAUUAGAAACCCUAGUAGUCC
rnacentral:rRNA from 1 species